rnacentral:rRNA from 1 species
AUUGAACGCUGGCGGCAUGAUUUACACAUGCAAGUCGAACGGUAACAGGCCGCAAGGUGCUGACGUGUGGAGAACGGGUGAGUAAUGCAUCGGAACGUGCCCAGUCGUGGGGGCUAACUACUCGAAAGAGUAGCUAAUACCGCAUACGAUCUAUGGAUGCAAGCGGGGGACCGUAAGGCCUCGCGCGAUUGGAGCGGCCGAUGUCAGAUUAGGUAGUUGGUGGGGUAAAGGCUCACCAAGCCAACGAUCUGGAGCUGGUCUGAGAGGACGACCAGCCACACUGGGACUGAGACACGGACCAGACUCCUACGGGAGGCAGCAGUGGGGAAUUUUGGACCAUGGGCGCAAGCCUGAUCCAGCAAUGCCGCGUGCAGGAAGAAGGCCUUCGGGUUGUAAAAUGCUUUUGUACGGAACGAAACGGCUCUGGUUAAUACCCGCGGCUAAUGACGGUACCGUAAGAAUAAGCACCGGCUAACUACGUG